rnacentral:rRNA from 1 species
UACAGAGGGUGCAAGCGUUAAUCGGAAUUACUGGGCGUAAAGCGCGCGUAGGCGGCUGUCUAAGUCGGGUGUGAAAGCCCCGGGCUCAACCUGGGAACUGCAUUCGAUACUGGACGGCUAGAGUAUGAGAGAGGGAGGUAGAAUUCCACGUGUAGCGGUGAAAUGCGUAGAUAUGUGGAGGAAUACCGGUGGCGAAGGCGGCCUCCUGGUUCAAUACUGACGCUGAGGCGCGAAAGCUAGGGGAGCAAACGGG